rnacentral:rRNA from 1 species
AGAGUUUGAUCCUGGCUCAGGAUGAACGCCGGCGGUGUGCCUAAUACAUGCAAGUCGUACGCACUGGCCCAACUGAUUGAUGGUGCUUGCACCUGAUUGACGAUGGAUCACCAGUGAGUGGCGGACGGGUGAGUAACACGUAGGUAACCUGCCCCGGAGCGGGGGAUAACAUUUGGAAACAGAUGCUAAUACCGCAUAACAACAAAAGCCACAUGGCUUUUGUUUGAAAGAUGGCCUUGGCUAUCACUCUGGGAUGGACCUGCGGUGCAUUAGCUAGUUGGUAAGGUAACGGCUUACCAAGGCGAUGAUGCAUAGCCGAGUUGAGAGACUGAUCGGCCACAAUGGAACUGAGACACGGUCCAUACUCCUACGGGAGGCAGCAGUAGGGAAUCUUCCACAAUGGGCGCAAGCCUGAUGGAGCAACACCGCGUGAGUGAAGAAGGGUUUCGGCUCGUAAAGCUCUGUUGUUGGAGAAGAACGUGCGUGAGAGUAACUGUUCACGCAGUGACGGUAUCCAACCAGAAAGUCACGGCUAACUACGUGCCAGCAGCCGCGGUAAUACGUAGGUGGCAAGCGUUAUCCGGAUUUAUUGGGCGUAAAGCGAGCGCAGGCGGUUGCUUAGGGCUGAUGUGAAAGCCUUCGGCUUAACCGAAGAAGUGCAUCGGAAACCGGGCGACUUGAGUGCAGAAGAGGACAGUGGAACUCCAUGUGUAGCGGUGGAAUGCGUAGAUAUAUGGAAGAACACCAGUGGCGAAGGCGGCUGUCUGGUCUGCAACUGACGCUGAGGCUCGAAAGCAUGGGUAGCGAACAGGAUUAGAUACCCUGGUAGUCCAUACCGUAAACGAUGAGUGCUAGGUGUUGGAGGGUUUCCGCCCUUCAGUGCCGGAGCUAACGCAUUAAGCACUCCGCCUGGGGAGUACGACCGCAAGGUUGAAACUCAAAGGAAUUGACGGGGGCCCGCACAAGCGGUGGAGCAUGUGGUUUAAUUCGAAGCUACGCGAAGAACCUUACCAGGUCUUGACAUCUUGCGCUAACCUUAGAGAUAAGGCGUUCCCUUCGGGGACGCAAUGACAGGUGGUGCAUGGUCGUCGUCAGCUCGUGUCGUGAGAUGUUGGGUUAAGUCCCGCAACGAGCGCAACCCUUGUUACUAGUUGCCAGCAUUAAGUUGGGCACUCUAGUGAGACUGCCGGUGACAAACCGGAGGAAGGUGGGGACGACGUCAGAUCAUCAUGCCCCUUAUGACCUGGGCUACACACGUGCUACAAUGGACGGUACAACGAGUCGCAAGCUCGCGAGAGUAAGCUAAUCUCUUAAAGCCGUUCUCAGUUCGGACUGUAGGCUGCAACUCGCCUACACGAAGUCGGAAUCGCUAGUAAUCGCGGAUCAGCAUGCCGCGGUGAAUACGUUCCCGGGCCUUGCACACACCGCCCGUCA